GGCCACUUCAGCGUAGAGGUGAGCAUAUCAGCCUAUGAUGCUGAAAGCCUGGGUUCGAAUCCCAGCGUGAACA
rnacentral:tRNA from 1 species